rnacentral:lncRNA from 1 species
GCAGCCUCAGGUGCCAGGCGGCGGGCGGGCGCGCGCGGGGGUCCGCGGGCCAGGCUUCCUCCGACUCCGGACCCCGAGCGGCGGCGGACGGGGAGGGGCCGGGCGGCGCAUGCGCGGGGCCCAGGGGCGCGGGUGAGGGCGCUUGCCGCGGGCUCGUGCUGGGAGAUCCCGGGCCCCUGGGGCCGCUUCUAGCUCGGCCUCCCUUGGAGCGUCCAGGGCCUUCCCGGAGCCUCGGCGUCCGCAGCUGUCGGUGGGGCUGGGGGCUGGGUAGAAGUGGAGGCCGGGGACUUCGGAGACACUGCGUCCUUAAGUUGUCACCCCGGGGAGAAGGCCCACCAAGCGAGUGCCUCGGACUGCCGUGAAAGGCCCUGCCUCGUGGCAAGACAAGCUCAGAAGCAGGACGCUGUCAUCACAGGGAGCGAGGAGCUGCUCUAUGCUCUUGUGUUCAGUACCGAGCAGAGCAAUCCCGGAUCUGCUCAUGAAGCUGACUUGGUUACAUCAAAAUAUUAAAAAGGGAGCUUAAAGAGUGUGACCCUGGCGUGGGGAAAGGGACACUAUUUUUGCUACACCACCUUGCUGGAAACCAGUACUUUUUCCCUUGCAUGUUGCCUAUGAGC